rnacentral:tRNA from 1 species
UCUUCAAGUUAGGUAGUAUAGUGGUUAGUAUUCGCGCCUGUCACGCGCGAGACCGGGGUUCAAUUCCCCGCCUGAGAG